AUGAUGUAUUGUGUGUUGUUUUCAGAGCCUUUUGUAAUCGAUGCCAUAACUUUCUCUGCUGGCUGUCGGUACUUAGCUUUCAUCGCGUGUUUAACACUGACGUGGAUUCAUUUUCUCCUAAAAAUAAGGCCUGUGCUUGUGGUCAUUGUUUACAAGAGAUUCCUUCAGACUCCAGACACCAGGCACCAAAAUUCAGCAGGUAACCAAAAAGAAAAAAAUCAGCAGGUAGCAGCGAGACCUGGAACACGCUCGCGAAGCCGAAGCCGCUCAUCCUCCCUCCCCGCUCCCAAGGUGCUGGCACACUCCGCUCCACCUGAUGAUGCUGCCCACGGCGGUGCAAGCAGAGCACAUGGAUGA
rnacentral:rRNA from 1 species